GUGGAGCACACCUGUAGUCCCAGCGACUUGGGAAACUGAGGGCAGGAGGAUGGCUUGAGCCCAGGAGUUCUGGGAUGUUGUGUGCUUAUGUCGAUAGGGUGUUUGCACUUAGGUUCAGCAUCAAUAUGGUGACCUCCCAGGAUGUGGGGGACACCAGAUUGCCUAAGAAGUGGUGAACCAACCCAGAUCAGAAAUGGAGCAGGUCAAAAAGUCAUCAGAGCCUUUAUAGAUUUUUUUUUUGGGGGGGGGGGUAUCUCUUCUUGCUCUUCCUAGCUUCUGGAGGUUGCUUACCAU
rnacentral:sRNA from 1 species